AGAUGUCGACGGCGGCGGUGCCUGAGCUGAAGCAGAUCAGCCGGGUAGAGGCGAUGCGCUUGGGGCCGGGCUGGAGCCACUCAUGCCACGCCAUGCUGUAUGCCGCCAACCCCGGGCAGCUCUUCGGCCGCAUCCCUAUGCGCUUCUCGGUGCUGAUGCAGAUGCGCUUCGACGGGCUGCUGGGCUUCCCCGGCGGCUUCGUGGACCGGCGCUUCUGGUCGCUGGAGGACGGCCUGAACCGGGUGCUGGGCCUGGGCCUAGGCUGCCUGCGCCUCACCGAGGCUGACUACCUGAGCUCGCACCUGACCGAGGGCCCGCACCGCGUCGUGGCGCACCUGUACGCGCGCCAGCUGACGCUGGAGCAGCUGCACGCUGUGGAGAUCAGCGCGGUGCACUCGCGCGACCACGGCCUGGAGGUGGGGCCGCCGCCUGGGCCCCGCCCCCCACCCCGGGGUUUGGCUCUGGCCCCGUGGAAGGCAUCGAUGGGUGCUGGGGCUCGUGCGGGUCCCGCUCUACACCCAGAAGGAUCGAGUCGGCGGCUUCCCCAACUUCCUGAGCAACGCCUUCAUAAGCACAGCCAAGUACCAGCUCCUCUUCGCUCUCAAGGUGCUCAACAUGAUGCCCGAGGAGAAGCUGGCUGAGGCCUUGGCUGCAGCCACUGAGAAGCAGAAGAAGGCCCUAGAGAAGCUUCUCCCGUCUUCCUCCUGAGCACAGUCUGCAAGCACCUCCAGGGGACGGUCUGGAAGCACCGGCUGAGUGUGCAGAAUGACACCAGCAGAGCCACUGCAGACAGGAAGGUCACCACUGGCGGUCUCCUAUGGCCCUGUGUCUGGAAAGUUUCCACAGCACCUGCUGGGCCUGGUAAGGAAAGCAGUGCCCCCGCCCAGCUGGGGGGGGGUCUGUUCACCUUAGAGCCUCGAUGAAGCAGCCAGCAUUGUGGGCAAAGGCACUUCACUCUGUAAAUAAAACUCCUGGACCUUGCUCCUCUCUCAUUUCCAGGGGCAUGCUCUGCUCUCCAGGUAGCUUCUGUAGAAUCACGGGGGCUCUGAGCAAAGGUGGCCCUAGCUGCUGGGGACGAUGGAGCAGGGGAGGUCACCGAGUUGGCUCUGCUCUGAGCACAGUGUUCUUUGUCCUGGCAAAAAGGGCCUGGGUCCCAGUGGGUCACUGGGGCUGGGGGUCUUGGUGUGGCUACGCCAGCCAGUACCACAUGUGUGACCAGAACUGAGCCCUUCAUCCGUUAAUCUUCAAUUUUAUUUUCCAGCAAAUGACAUAUGCUGCCCAGGUGCCCCAGUCCUCACCCAUCAGGGCAGACCUCAGUGUGGCACCUGUGGUGUCUGCGGACAUGCUCUCUCCCAGGGCCCUGCCUGCUCUGGGCCUUAGCGCCAGGUUCUGGGCGGGAGACCCUCAUCCUGCCUCCGUGGGGGCCGCUGCCCUGUGCCGGCCACAGCCCCGUCCUGCCUCUCUGCUGGCUGCUCCUGGGCCCUGAUCCUCUGGCCCCAGUUGGGGCGUGGGCUGCUGCAGCCCCCCGCUCACU